rnacentral:rRNA from 1 species
AUUGCCCCAGUAACGGCGAGUGAAGCGGCAACAGCUCAAAUUUGAAAUCUGGUCCCUAGGGCCCGAAUUGUAAUUUGUAGAGGAUGCUUUUGGCACGGUGCCUUCCGAGUUCCCUGGAACGGGACGCCAUAGAGGGUGAGAGCCCCGUCUGGUCGGAUGCCUAGCCUCUGUAAAGCUCCUUCGACGAGUCGAGUAGUUUGGGAAUGCUGCUCAAAAUGGGAGGUAUAUGUCUUCUAAAGCUAAAUAUUGGCCAGAGACCGAUAGCGCACAAGUAGAGUGAUCGAAAGAUGAAAAGCACUUUGAAAAGAGGGUUAAACAGUACGUGAAAUUGUUGAAAGGGAAGCGCCUAUGACCAGACUUGGGCCCGGUGAAUCACCCAGCGUUCUCGCUGGUGCACUUUGCCGGGCACAGGCCAGCAUCAGUUUGGCGCGGGGGAUAAAGGCUUUGGGAAUGUGGCUCCCUCGGGAGUGUUAUAGCCCAUUGUGUAAUACCCUGCGCCGGACUGAGGUACGCGCAUUGCAAGGAUGCUGGCGUAAUGGUCAUCAGCGACCCGUCUUGAAACACGGACCAAGGAGUCGUCCUCGUAUGCGAGUGUUCGGGUGUUAAACCCCUACGCGUAAUGAAAGUGAACGCAGGUGAGAGCUUCGGCGCAUCAUCGACCGAUCCUGAUGUUCUCGGAUGGAUUUGAGUAAGAGCAUACGGGGCCGGACCCGAAAGAAGGUGAACUAUGCCUGUAUAGGGUGAAGCCAGAGGAAACUCUGGUGGAGGCUCGCAGCGGUUCUGACGUGCGAAUCGAUCGUCAAAUAUGGGCAUG